rfam:Cucumis melo, WGS project CAJI01000000 data, contig: 26636
GAGAGCUGGACGAGGGGAGACCUUCACAUUCGGUUCAGAGGGCGGGGAUAUCCUGACCCUAC